rnacentral:rRNA from 1 species
GAGGCGCGGGUCCUCGAAAGGCCCACGCCGAAGGGAAGCCAAAUUUACGCGAGUAGGGUCAUGGCCUUCACUCAGCGGCUUCGCUGCAACUCGUAGUUGUAGUGUGACGAGUUCGAUCCGUCACACCCGAUAGGGGGUGAACUAUGCUCGAUCAGAUCGAAGCCUGGCUAACGCCCGGUGGAGGAUCGUAGCGGUUCUGAUAUGCAAUUCGAUCGCGUGAGUUGAGCAUAGGGGCGAAAGACCAAUCGAACCCCCUGGUAGCUGGUUCCUUCCGAAUGGUCUCUCAGGACUGCUGACGUACGCAAAAUCGGACUCGGUCGUCGUAGAGCAACGAAUCGGGUUACCGGGACGCAACCGUCGCCGCACCCUUCUCGAACUGCAAAGACGAUCGGCUGCGGGCCUCGUUCACUUCGAGGCUCGUCACGGACCGGAAGACGUCAAGUCGGCGCUGGCCGGUAAGCGGCUAGCGUUAUGCGGGAUCAACCGCCAGCCGGUGUGAGGUGCCAAAUCGGAAUAGUGGCCCCGGAAGCAGGCAUCAUCCACGGAGUGUGUAAAAACUCACCGAUCGAAUCGUGCGGCCUCGAAAAUUGAUGGCGCUUUUAUCGGUCGACCGACCGCCGGCCGCCGAGGACGACGUCUAGCWGCACUCCGCAGCAAAAGGUGCACUGUCCUCGGCGGGUAGGAAGGCGACGCGAUGAGCCCUGAAGCUCGUCCUCGAGGACGGGUGGAGCCGUCGCGUGUGCUUAUCAUGGUUGCAGUAGCUUGAACUUCGGUCGAACCCGGAGGGCCGUAGUGGAGAAGGUUUCCUGUCGAUCGGCGAACGAGACAGGGUAAGUCGCUCCCGAGCAGACGACGAAGGUCGUUAGACAGUGCCCGACAACGGGCGAGCUGCGAAAGGGAAGCCGGCGAAAAUUCCGGCACCGCGUCAAGCCGUGUUCGACGUCUCGUGGAACGUUCGCUGCCGCAAGGUUGGCGUGCGUGCCGGGCGUCGAACGUACCGACGGCAACGUGACUGGUUCGAAGACGCUCAGCACGGCAUCGGCAUCGGUUCUCUUCCGAUGUUAAGGUGACGACGCGACGGAGUCGGUUCGCCCGGAGAUGUCGCGCGCGUCGGCGAAAAGGGUGGCAAGAACUGCGACCUUCGGUAGCCGUGCUGGGCCCGUGAAAAUUCGAACGAGCGGAUUACGAGCUUGACGCGAGCGUACCCAGAACCGCAUCAGGUCUCCGAGGUGAGAAGCCUCUGGCCGAACGGCAAAAGGCGGGCUAGGGAAUUCGGCAAAAUAGAUCCGUACCUUCGGUACAAGGAUUGGCUCCGCGGGUCGCGUCUACCGGCUUGCAUCGGCGACCGACGACGUGGCGACCGUUGUCCUCCUCGGGGGAUGGCUGUUGCAGCGGAGGCGGGCGAAGGUGCGAGUUGAGCGGUGCGGGUUUCGGCCUGCAUCGCUCGCCACGGUAGGCUAAAAACGAUCGACGCGGAGCUGGCACCGACACGGCUGACCGGACAGUUUAAUUAAAACGCAGCGCGUGGCUAUCCGCAAGCGGCGUGAAUCACGCGUGAGUCCUGCCCGGUGCUAUGAAUGUCAAGGUGGGGAGAUUCACCUAAGCACUAGUUAACGGCAGGAGUAACUAUGACUCUUUUAAGGUAGCAAAAUACCUUGUCGCAUAAUUGGCGACGUGCAUGAAUGGAUCAACCAGGUCAGCACUGUCCCAGUCCGGUCGCCGGCGAACCAACAGACGGGGGAACGGGCCCGUCAGACACAGCGGGGAAAGAAGACCCUGUUGAGCUUCACUUCAUCUGUCGCCUGCAGGCGGGUGCAGCGUCUGUAGUAAUAGAUGGGAGGCGUUCGUUUCGGCGUUCGCCGGUUGUGAAAGACCAUUGACGCAGUUACUCGCUCGCUAACCUGGUGAGAGGGGAAGCGCGCGUUCGGUCUUCGGGCCGACGCGCCAGAUCCAUGCAACAAAGCGACGACGCGGCGCACCUCGUGUGCUGCCGACCACGGACGUCGCGACCCGUGCCAGGGACAAGCCGCGGUGGGAAGUUUGGCUGGGGCGGUACGACCCGAAAAGUGUGGCCGGGUCGACCAUGAGUCGAUCUCAGUGUGGACGGAAACCUCACGUAGCGUUUAAGGACAAAUGAUCGUCUGAUCCGGCGCCACAGCACAGCGCCGGGGCUCGACAGAGCGGCCUAGCGAUCUCGAAACGGCGCCCGGUCUCGGUCGUUCGAGUGACGGAAAAGUUACCACAGGGAUAACUGGCUUGUGGCAGCCUAGUGGCCUAAAUGACGCUGCUUUUUGAUCCUUCGAUGUCGGCUCUUCCUAUCCAGGCAGUGCAAAAGUUGCCAAAGGUAAGACUGUUCGUCUGCUAACAGGGAACGUGAGCUGGGUUUAGACCGUCGUGAGACAGGUUAGUUUUAUCCUACUGUGAGUGGUCGUCCCGAUGGUAGGAUCGUUUAGUACGACAGGAACGACGAUUCAUUGCCUAUCGCAAUGGAGUCGGUCGAGAGACCGAUGCUCCGAAGCGACGCAAUUCGGAUAAGGACUGAUGGCCUCUAAAGUUCGAAGCCGUGCCAAGUGAGCGGACGACAGUGCGGGUAGACUGCUGCGACGUGAGUUUUCGUUUUGCCAGCCUCGCCGCCGUGCGAAAAAGGCCUCCUCCUUGGGGAGCAGCCUAGGGCAACAGGUGCCGCGUGUACCGACGAUGCUCCGUCGAAAGAUCACCAGUAAACGACUGGGGAGUCUCGGUACUGUAAGGCGUCGAGCUCUAGGGCGAGCGUCUGAGGUUUAGCCGGAGACUAUA